UACAGAGGGUGCAAGCGUUGUUCGGAAUUACUGGGCGUAAAGCGUGCGCAGGCGGCGCGUUAAGUCAGUUGUGAAAUCUCCGGGCUUAACUCGGAAAGGUCAACUGAUACUGUGCGACUAGAGUGCGGAAGGGGCAACUGGAAUUCUCGGUGUAGCGGUGAAAUGCGUAGAUAUCGAGAGGAACACCUGCGGCGAAGGCGGGUUGCUGGGCCGACACUGACGCUGAGGCGCGAAAGCCAGGGGAGCGAACGGG
rnacentral:rRNA from 1 species